rnacentral:tRNA from 1 species
GAGGAUGUACGUCUAAUUGGUAAGGCAUACGACUGUAAAUCGUCCGGGUCACCCCACUGGGAGUUCAAGUCUCUCCGUCCUCA